rnacentral:lncRNA from 1 species
CCACUCACAACAAACCCAGGGAGGUUUGCUUUUCACCCAUGGUACAAGGAACAACUCACGGAACCACUAGAACAACUUAUGGAACCAACAAUAGGCUAACAUUAAUCCUGCCAACUCAAAGUGUAACCUCGAGUUGCUAAUGUGCCUCACUCACGAGCCCAAGCUCAAACUCGUGCAAAUGGAACAUCUCCAAACCAUCCUAUGAGCCCAAGCGCAAGCUCACAUCAUAAGGUACAACAAGGUAACCCAAAACCUAUCCCAAGGAACGAUUGCAAAGUCUUUGCACCCAAACGUGUACCCACUCGGAUCAUCGUUUUCAUCUCUGCGUAUGCAACGAGACUAGUUCCCCAAUCUCAUUGAAUAGUACUCGCUGAGACUCAUCCUCUGAUACCAAAUGUAGCGCACGUGGUUUUUACCCUUUAUCCUAUGGUGAUUUACCAUAGGAUAACACCACGAAGCGGAACCUAAACCCUCUUUGUGCCAC